rnacentral:tRNA from 11 species
CGUGGCCUAGUGGUGAAGACGUUGGGCUAGUAACCCAAUGGUCG